AGCUUUGUGCAGUGGCAGUACCGUAGCUGAUGACGUUUAUCCGAGGUGCAAUUAUUGCUAGCUGAAAAUUUUCCCCAUACCCUGCCAUGACGACUUGCAAUAUAGCUGGCAUUGGCAAUUUUUGGUGGUCCCUACAGAGA